UGGACGAUGCCAACCGCUCUAAAGAGCCUAUGCACGAAAUCUCACUAUCCAUUUUUUUGUAGUUCUGUGGUAUUAGUGUUAGUUACUAGGUAUUGCAGUAUCACCUUGAAUGUUUUAUUCAUUCUUUUAAUAUAAUGGCUUUCGAUAGUGCAAAGGUGGCGCAAUUGGAAAUGCUUUAAUUCCAUAAUUUAUUUAUGGCUAAUUCUGACAUUGUUAUACUAUUUGCUAGGAAAACUAAUUAUGUACAUUUUAAUUUUGCUAAUCGGAAAACGUUACACGUUACAAAACAAUAUGUUUAAACUUAAGGACAAAAAACAGUCAUAUCUUGCUUUCCUGAAAAGUUAUUUAUAGUUCUAUAACAUUUUUAUAUAAAUUACUAUUUUCAAUAUAGCACUCAAAUAAUUCCCGUAAAAUCGCUACAUUUUCUUGCUUUUGGAAAGAAAUAAUAACUAUCAAACACAAAGUAAGAUUCCUAAAUCAUUUUUUUUUUAAAUUACCAUUUAAGGUUCGGAAAUAUUAUUUUAUGAAAUUUCCUUUAGUCCAUUAUAUUUACUUAUAUUGCAGUUUUAUUAGUUCUUAUUGUGAAAAGAUCAAAAAUAAACAAGUCAAGAACACAAAACUGACAACACUCAUUUAUUAUUACAUAAUUGCAACUAGAUAUUCACAGAAUUUAAUUUUUGUCUCUAUAACUUAAUCCUUACGAAUUUUAGCCACUCUGGGGUCGUCGGGUCUCAUAAUAACAUAGAUUUUCUUGUAUCUUCUAUUGUCUCCGUCGUUUUUUUCGUAGUUAUAACAUGCGAGAACACCUAGACCAAUACCAAUAAGACCUAAGCCAGUAGUCGCAACGAUUUCUGGGAUUUCAUUCCAAGCUUGCUGGAGUAGUUGACCAACUGUUCGCCUAGCUGCAGGGGCCGCCAUGAUUUUAUCUUCUUGGUUCACAGAAGAUACAGUUUUUUUAUUGGAAAAUUGCAAGAAAAUAAGUUCAAUGGCAAAAACAGAACCCAAUAAUUGUCAAAUGUCAAAGUCAGACAUCAGUUAAUACUUUCUGUAAGUAUUACUAUACUCUGUGGUUAUUACAUGGAGCAUAGAGAAAUUUCUCAUUUUCUAUUUCUCAUUCAUUUCUCUAUGCUCCAUGAGUUAUUAAAU
rnacentral:misc_RNA from 1 species